UACGUAGGGUGCAGGCGUUAAUCGGAAUUACUGGGCGUAAAGCGUGCGCAGGCGGUCUAUUAAGACAGGUGUGAAAUCUCCGGGCUUAACCUGGGAACUGCAUUCGAGACUGCAUAGCUAGAGUAUGGGAGAGGGAAGUGGAAUUUCAGGUGUAGCGGUGAAAUGCGUAGAUAUCUGAAGGAACAUCAGUGGCGAAAGCGACUUCCUGGACCAAUACUGACGCUCAUGUGCGAAAGCGUGGGGAGCAAACGGG
rnacentral:rRNA from 1 species